AUGAUUAUUAUGUUUCAGAAUUUUUAGCAAGCUCUUCAUGUAAUAAACAACAAAUUGUUUACUGUUGACUGAACAUGUCCCGAUGACAGUACCUACCUUAGUUCUACAUUGAAGAUUGAAGCUAUGCACGACGUUGUUACAGCGUAGUUAGACAAUUUAUAAUCAUGCCGAGAUCUCGCGAUCCUAGUCCUAGAGGGAUGAUUCUUCCUUCUGCUCCUCUUCGGUCUGGUUGGUUGGGUGGACUGAUGCCUGUGAAAGCUCUAGAGGAUACAAUGAAUUCUCUGAGCCUGGGUGGAGCUGAGGUCGGAGAGGAGGUUGAGGAGUCCGAGGAGAAAACUGAGUUCUGGGAUAUUCCGCUUGCAUUCAAUUCUCCUCGUCAUCUUCAGGUUAUCUCUGGAGACGAAAUGGAAAUGCAGACCUGGAGAAUGAAAGAACGAAUGAAAACUGUAUCUGUAGCUCUGGUUGUGUGUCUAAAUGUAGGGGUUGAUCCCCCGGAUGUAAUGAAAACCCAACCCUGCGCCAGGAAGGAGUGCUGGAUAGAUCCAAUGUCAUUGAACCCUCAGAAGGCGGUGGAGACGAUAGGAACUAAUCUCCAGCGGCAAUAUGAACGAUGGCAACCUAAAGCUAGAUAUCGUCUAAGUCUUGAUCCUACCUAUGACGAGGUGAAGAGACUCACGAAUAAUCUUCGUCGAUCUGCGAGAGACGAACGAGUUCUAUUUCAUUAUAACGGCCACGGGGUUCCUAAGCCGACAACUAACGGAGAAAUCUGGGUUUUCAAUCGUUCCUUCACUCAAUAUAUUCCUCUUUCCAUCUUUGAGCUUCAGACUUGGAUGGGAACACCUAGUAUAUAUGUAUAUGACUGCAACAAUGCUGGAAUAAUUGUUGAAAGUUUUAAAACCUUUGCCGAGCAGCACGAGCGGGAAUAUGCUGAACAGAUGAGGAAUAUUAAUUCCCAGGGAGGGAAUAGUGCAGAUAUUCCCAAUCCACCCUCACUCAGGAACUGUAUUCAGCUAGCUGCCUGCUCAGCUGACCAGCUACUACCUAUGUCCCCUGACCUACCAGCUGAUCUAUUCACAUCUUGCCUUACUACACCUAUUAAAGUUGCACUUAGAUGGUUCGUUAUGAAGAAUGAAAAAGGGCAUUUAGGCCCAAAAGUUAGUUUGGAUGAUCUGGAGAAGAUCCCCGGACAGUUUGGGGAUCGGAGAACUAUGCUCGGAGAACUAAACUGGAUUUUUACAGCUAUAACUGAUACAAUAGCUUGGAAUACUUUACCCAGAGAAACCUUUCAGAAACUAUUCCGUCAAGAUCUUCUAGUUGCCAGUCUUUUCAGGAAUUUUCUGCUUUCUGAGAGGAUAAUGAGAUCGUGUGAUUGUACCCCUGUCUCCCAACCUCCUCUACCCUACACCUACCAGCAUCCUAUGUGGGAGGCCUGGGAUCUAGCAGUAGAUAUGUGUCUCUCCCAGCUUCAGGGAAUUCUCCUGCAUGACAAACCUUACUCACCUAGCACAUUCUUCGAGGAGCAGCUGACUGCAUUCGAGGUUUGGUUAGCUCAAGGUUCCGAGGAUAGAGCUCCCCCGGAGCAACUUCCAAUCGUCCUUCAGGUUUUGUUGUCACAAGCGCACAGACUCCGGGCCCUAGAAUUGCUAGGAAGAUUUUUGGAUCUUGGUCCAUGGGCAGUAAAUCUUGUUCUCUCAGUAGGGAUAUAUCCUUAUGUUCUUAAACUACUCCAGGCAAAUGCAAGAGAGUUGCGCCCUCUGCUUGUGUUUCUCUGGGCUAAAAUACUUGCGGUGGACAGUUCCUGUCAGCAGGAUUUGGUACGAGAUCAAUCCCAUAGAUAUUUCCUGGCUGUUCUCCAGGAUCCAGCAAUGCUCACGGAGCAUAAGACUUGGAGUGUUUUCGUUCUCUCCAGUAUAGUGCAAGGAUACAAACCGGGACAGGAUGAGGCGCUUGCUGGGAAUCUGAUAACAUUAUGCUUAAACGAGCUGGAGGAAAGUGAUCCUGUACUCCGUCAGUGGUUAGCUAUCUGCUUAGGACGGAUCUGGGAUGGACACGAGGAUGCCCGGUGGCGAGGAGCUCGAGAUAAUGCUCCUGAACGUCUGUUCAACCUUCUCUCUGAUCCAGUUCCUGAGGUUCGAGCAGCGGCUGUGUAUGCUCUAGGAACGUUUCUGAACUCCUGUGGAAGUAGGACGGAUCAUGCUAACUCCUUAGAUCAGACGAUUGGUUUGAGAUUACUACAGACCUGUCUGGAUGAUGGAUCUCCUCUUGUUCGACGUGAACUUGUUGUCGCCCUGCAGUGGCUGGUGUACUCCUUCCUACCCAACCUCGUUAACCUCUGCAAGACCCUACAUGAUGAGGAUGAGGACAGGGUUAGGUUUUCAACUCCAACGCUAGUUGGUGCUCCAACCUCUCCUCGGAACGUUCUCAAUAAAUCAACCAAGACUGAUAUGACCCGGAAACCGAAAGGAAGUGUUUCUAGUUUAGCUCCUAGCUCUAGUUACAAUGAGCUGAAUGUUACUGGAUAUUCUGAUGUUUCUGUUCAAGGAACUACUAGAAAACUUAAAAGAAUAAUGUCCACACAGGCUCAGUCAAGCUACAGCUCCUUAGCUACCCUCUCCAUGUUCUCUGGUGUUACAAGUAAAUUUAAACCUUUCUUUCUCAAGUUGUGGGGUGGAUUGUUGCUAUUGGAGAAGGAUCCGGAUCCUUUAGUUUCAUCUCUCUCCCGGAAUCUCUUAGAUAUAGUCUGGAAGAAGAUGAAUCAGAAAGAAAGAUCAGCGGAUAUGUUCAGAUCUCAAGGUUCUCAUUUAGAUAUUCAUAGUAGGUCAGCUCCCAGUAGUCCUGGUAGACCAACAUUUCUUUUAGGAGAAUCUCCUCCCACCAGCCUAAAUACUACCCUACCUAAUCUACUCCAAACCUCGGAGAACAACUCCCGUCCUGGUCAAUCCUGGUUUCAAAGAUCCUUGUUCUCGGCAAUACACGAGGAAGGAAUUACGUCAGAGGACGGAGAGAAUGCUACGCUGUCUACACAGUUUAUUGAAUGGUCGGCUAAAUACUUCUCAAACCAGCUCAUGAGAUUGAACAGUAACGAUGAUAAACAGUCCGACACAUACUACUGCAAGGAUUGGAUGCAAACUAGGAACGAUUUAAUCUGUCAGCGAGUAGACCAGGAGCAGCGGAGUUUGCUCCAGGGUACCGGAAAACUGGACGAACAAAUUGGUGGAAUAAAGAUCUUUCAGCCCCCGUCCGUCGUACUCAUGCACCCAUAUGAUAACGAGGUUGUGGUGGCUGGACGUGAUUCUGUCUCCGUAUACGAGUUUUCCCAGACACAGACCAGGAGUAAUACGUUUUCAAAUAAAAACCCGAAAAUUUCUCAAAUAACCGCGAUGGAGUUCAUGAAUGGACAUGUGGACGGAUUGCUAGUUACGGGGUCGGACGAUGGUGCUGUGAGAGUAUACAGGGACUGGCAGAAGGACCAGCAGCUUGUAUCUGCCUGGAACCUGCUACCGGAGCUAGUUCCUCAAUCCGCUGCAGGAGAUAGGAUAAGUGUAGGACUCUGUUUAACCUGGGACUCAUGUUCCCGUGUUCUAGCUGCUGCUGGAGAUACUAAAUAUAUAAGAUUAUGGGAUUGUGAUUCUGAGAUGAAACUUGUAGAUUUACCCUCGUCUGCAGAUAGUUUUGUAACUAGUCUGAGUAUGAAUGAGAGUGCAAGAUUACUGGCUGCAACAUAUUACGAUGGUUCUAUUAAACUUUAUGAUCCUAGGCUACAUCCAGCUUCUUCUAGGGUAAUGAUGUAUCGCGAGCACGGGAAGUUCGUCCUCAACUGUCGGAGUCAGGAGAACUCGAGGCUUAUAUCAGGGUGUACAGACGGUAUUAUAAAGGUUUGGGAUAUGAGAAGACAGUCUAGUAUUCUGACUAUUAAUACCGGACAGAAUAUUAUAAUCCUGGAUAUUCAUGAGAACGCUCCUCUAUUCGCAGUGUGGACGAUGUCAAGCCAGCUGUCCGUGCAUAACCUGAACAAUGGGAAGCUACUGAACCAGAUUAGAUAUCAGGACGGAAUACUGGGACAACGAUUCGGUUCGGUAAACUGUUUGCGGUUUCAUCCUCAUCUUCUUCGGCUGGCGGCAGGGUCCGGGGAUUCCUACCUCAGCCUAUACGGUUUAAGAAAAUAUUAAAGAAAAUAAGAAUGCGGAGUUCGUUCCUAAAAGUGAAGUCAUUCAUAAAAAAACGAGUUUUUUCCUCUUUUUCUAAAGGUUGAGUGAAGGACAUGCUUUUCUGAACAACGAUGAAUGCUUCUAACUUGGACAUAUUUAUUAAUCUAAUUAUUAUUUGCGGAAUUUUAUAGAGCUCUUAACACUUAAAAGGACUAGUAAACGUAAUUUCAAUUGACUCUUCAUUUGUGGAGUGGCAUGCCUGAUUCACAACGGCCACUUUAAACUUCAUCAAGAGUCCCCUCAAGGUUCCUAUCAUCUCAUCUCAUACAUAAUAUGUAAAUAAAAACAAAUUUAAAAACAGUAACUAAAAAUUUACAGAUAUCAAUGAUCAAGAAGAAUAAAGGAGCAGUGAGCAGUGAGAAAAGUUAAUGAAUUUUAAAGAGCUUCUCACCUUGAAGCUCGUGUUUCCUAUACAGUAUGCAUAUUUUAUUUAUGUUUAAAGAUAAUUCAUGUUUUAUUUAUUUUUGGUUUAACAAUUCAUUAAAUUCCAAAUACUUUAAGCCGGGGUUAAAAAAAAAUUUAUCUGAUUUCUGUUACAAAUGUAAAUAAUUUCACCAACCUGCCUUGAAUCCACACAGUUAGUUAAAAAAAAUGUUUUAAAUAUCCUCUACAGUGAGAACCAGAAAACAAUGGAAUUCUCAUAGUUGUAAUCUUGAAUUGUCUCCGGGAUUUUAAUAUUUACAACUAGAGGGUUGUCAGUUGCAACAAUUGAUUGUUAUAGAAAUAUUGGCGACACUAUUAAAGUAAAAAAGAACGAAGCUUUGGUUCUCACUGAACAUUCUCAUAAUCGCGCUUCCACGCAAAUAAAAUCUUGAAAAAGACAUGGUAAUUACAAAUCAUCUUUUAUAAUCCUACUCAAUUCGCGGAUUUGUUGCUUUCUGAUAAGGGAUAAGUUAUCCUUUGUGAUGCUUUUAAAGGGCAUUCCAUUA
rnacentral:misc_RNA from 1 species